rnacentral:lncRNA from 1 species
GCUCGUUGCUGAUCUCCACGCAGCGGCUUGAAUAUCUGUAGAUGAUCCUCCAAUGGGGGAAUCUUCAGCUCCCCAGUUCUCAUCACUCUCCUGAAUCACUGCUUUCUUCCAUGGAUUUGCUUUCUGUACAUCCCAGGAUGAGCUGCUAGGUAGUUUUCCCCAUGCAUUACCACCGAGUGAUGGAGAUUGCUGACCGUUCUGGACGACCACUGCUCCAUGGUAUACAGAACCGUGGUCCAGCCUCCUCAUGGCAGUGGCGGCUCGGGCAUGGUCGUGGAACACGGCCAAAGCGUUCUUGUCAUUCAGCCAAACAAGCUCACAUUCACCUCCAAAUCUCAGCACCAAAGCGCUGAUAUUCGCCUCCCUCGGGAGAUCCAGUAAUGACACCACCAGCCUAGGAUCCAUAUCCACCAGCGGAUCAAAGGACGGUGGGUGAGGCCCGCCUAGCGAGACAGCGCCACCCCUAGCUCCAAUGAUUCGUGUUGGCGGUUUUGACUUUUGUGUUACGUGGACCACUGUAAACCGUUUUGGCUCCCACCCUGCAUUGCUAACCGCAAGUUUCCAUCUCUCAGCUAGAAGUCUAACCGUGUCUCGUUUAUCCUUUUGCAUCGGGCAGAAUACAUGGACCUUAAGGGUGCUUGUGCUUCCUCUAGCCUUCCCAAGUACCAGGUACUUGAAGCGCUCUUCAACAGCCAGUACCCACUUAGGAUCACGCCUAUAGAUGUCCGAAAUAAUCUCUGUCAUAGCAGCAUUCUCGCUAAAAUGUAAAGAGUCCAGAUUUGGGGGAGUGAUAUCAAACGCGUCUUGAAGAACACGCUUACGCUCCAGUUUAGCACACUCAUCAUCACACGAAAGCUUUCGCUGCCCGAGAGGGAUUCGGCUUCCAUUCGACUCAACAGGCUGAAGCGAAGUUGGAAGCUUCUGCAAAACAGAGGCUUCAUAGAUAGAAUCAACACUAAGAUUGCUGGUACUUCCUCCUCCCGCAUCGCAAGGAACAGUAGCGGUUAUGCGACCACACGAACAUGUUAUUGUGACUGGAAAUUCACAUCUUGUGUCAGGGCAAGGCUGCGAAGGAUGGCAAAGAGCUGCACAAGUGUGCCUGCAAUCUCUUCUAGGAGCACUACAAGUCUGUCCACAUGUAACACGCAGAGCUGCUUCAGAUUCAUUGUAAGUGUCACAUGCCUCCGGGUGGCAAGUUCUGGCACAAGCAUGCAUGCCACAACGCCUCGUCUUUCCACAAAUCUUGUUACAUCUGAUGUCUUUCAGCCCACAAGGUAUGUUUCUCAGAACCACGUGACCACCAACGCAUUUCUUUUCCACUGGGGCAGAACAAGGAGGGCAAUCUCCAAAAUGGCAUCCAUGCGUAGCAGAAUGGCCACAAGGCUGAGGAAUGGAGCAUGGAAGCUGGCAGCUAGGAACAGGCGUCCCGCAUGGUAGUGGUGGAGGAAUCGAAGUAUUUCCACACGCACAUGUUAGAUCAGUGAAUAUCAUCUCGAGGCAAGGAGGGCAAUGGCCACUAUGGCACAAAGAUUCACAGGAAUGCUGCCCGCACCUUAGCUUCUUCCCACAAGGUAAUUGGCAUACGUGUUCGUCCCAAUCACCGGAUAGAUCAUUCUUCUUCGCGUUCAAGAGAGGGCAGCAACGCUCACUACAUCUAUGUCUCCCACAAUUCUUCUUACGCCCACAUGGUUUAGAACACACAAACUUAUCCGUCUCUGAAGAAGUUGUUAUGUAGCAUUCCACAGUCCUGGAUGUCGAACCACACCGGCAUUUCUGGUUGACUUGCACUAAACAAGGAGGGCAAUCACCUGAAUGGCACAACUCGUUGCAAGUAUGUAAUCCACAAGGAAGAAGCUUACUGCAUAGGUUUGAGCAAGAAGGAAUUGGGUCCAAGCAACUCUGCCUGGUCUGUUCUUCUAGACGCGUUUUCCCACAAUAGCACGUCUUAACUCUACUCGUUGCUGAUCUCCACGCAGCGGCUUGAAUAUCUGUAGAUGAUCCUCCAAUGGGGGAAUCUUCAGCUCCCCAGUUCUCAUCACUCUCCUGAAUCACUGCUUUCUUCCAUGGAUUUGCUUUCUGUACAUCCCAGGAUGAGCUGCUAGGUAGUUUUCCCCAUGCAUUACCACCGAGUGAUGGAGAUUGCUGACCGUUCUGGACGACCACUGCUCCAUGGUAUACAGAACCGUGGUCCAGCCUCCUCAUGGCAGUGGCGGCUCGGGCAUGGUCGUGGAACACGGCCAAAGCGUUCUUGUCAUUCAGCCAAACAAGCUCACAUUCACCUCCAAAUCUCAGCACCAAAGCGCUGAUAUUCGCCUCCCUCGGGAGAUCCAGUAAUGACACCACCAGCCUAGGAUCCAUAUCCACCAGCGGAUCAAAGGACGGUGGGUGAGGCCCGCCUAGCGAGACAGCGCCACCCCUAGCUCCAAUGAUUCGUGUUGGCGGUUUUGACUUUUGUGUUACGUGGACCACUGUAAACCGUUUUGGCUCCCACCCUGCAUUGCUAACCGCAAGUUUCCAUCUCUCAGCUAGAAGUCUAACCGUGUCUCGUUUAUCCUUUUGCAUCGGGCAGAAUACAUGGACCUUAAGGGUGCUUGUGCUUCCUCUAGCCUUCCCAAGUACCAGGUACUUGAAGCGCUCUUCAACAGCCAGUACCCACUUAGGAUCACGCCUAUAGAUGUCCGAAAUAAUCUCUGUCAUAGCAGCAUUCUCGCUAAAAUGUAAAGAGUCCAGAUUUGGGGGAGUGAUAUCAAACGCGUCUUGAAGAACACGCUUACGCUCCAGUUUAGCACACUCAUCAUCACACGAAAGCUUUCGCUGCCCGAGAGGGAUUCGGCUUCCAUUCGACUCAACAGGCUGAAGCGAAGUUGGAAGCUUCUGCAAAACAGAGGCUUCAUAGAUAGAAUCAACACUAAGAUUGCUGGUACUUCC